UGUGAACUCGAAGAGUAGGGCGGGACACGUGGUAUCCUGUCUGAAUAUGGGGGGACCAUCCUCCAAGGCUAAAUACUCCUGACUGACCGAUAGUGAACCAGUACCGUGAGGGAAAGGCGAAAAGAACCCCGGCGAGGGGAGUGAAAAAGAACCUGAAACCGUGUACGUACAAGCAGUGGGAGCACCUUCGGGUGUGACUGCGUACCUUUUGUAUAAUGGGUCAGCGACUUAUAUUCUGUAGCAAGGUUAACCGUAUAGGGGAGCCGCAGGGAAACCGAGUCUUAACUGGGCGUUAAGUUGCAGGGUAUAGACCCGAAACCCGGUGAUCUAGCCAUGGGCAGGUUGAAGGUUGGGUAACACUAACUGGAGGACCGAACCGACUAAUGUUGAAAAAUUAGCGGAUGACUUGUGGCUGGGGGUGAAAGGCCAAUCAAACCGGGAGAUAGCUGGUUCUCCCCGAAAGCUAUUUAGGUAGCGCCUCGUGAAUUCAUCUUCGGGGGUAGAGCACUGUUUCGGCUAGGGGGUCAUCCCGACUUACCAACCCGAUGCAAACUACGAAUACCGAAGAAUGUUAUCACGGGAGACACACGGCGGGUGCUAACGUCCGUCGUGAAGAGGGAAACAACCCAGACCGCCAGCUAAGGUCCCAAAGUCAUGGUUAAGUGGGAAACGAUGUGGGAAGGCACAGACAGCCAGGAUGUUGGCUUAGAAGCAGCCAUCAUUUAAAGAAAGCGUAAUAGCUCACUGGUCGAGUCGGCCUGCGCGGAAGAUGUAACGGGGCUAAACCAUGCACCGAAGCUGCGGCAGCGACACUAUGUGUUGUUGGGUAGGGGAGCGUUCUGUAAGCCUGCGAAGGUGUGCUGUGAGGCAUGCUGGAGGUAUCAGAAGUGCGAAUGCUGACAUAAGUAACGAUAAAGCGGGUGAAAAGCCCGCUCGCCGGAAGACCAAGGGUUCCUGUCCAACGUUAAUCGGGGCAGGGUGAGUCGACCCCUAAGGCGAGGCCGAAAGGCGUAGUCGAUGGGAAACAGGUUAAUAUUCCUGUACUUGGUGUUACUGCGAAGGGGGGACGGAGAAGGCUAUGUUAGCCGGGCGACGGUUGUCCCGGUUUAAGCAUGUAGGCUGGUUGUCCAGGCAAAUCCGGAUAAUCAAGGCUGAGGUGUGAUGACGAGGCACUACGGUGCUGAAGUAACAAAUGCCCUGCUUCCAGGAAAAGCCUCUAAGCAUCAGGUAACAUCAAAUCGUACCCCAAACCGACACAGGUGGUCAGGUAGAGAAUACCAAGGCGCUUGAGAGAACUCGGGUGAAGGAACUAGGCAAAAUGGUGCCGUAACUUCGGGAGAAGGCACGCUGGUGUGUAGGUGAAGUCCCUGCGGAUGGAGCUGAGACCAGUCGAAGAUACCAGCUGGCUGCAACUGUUUAUUAAAAACACAGCACUGUGCAAACACGAAAGUGGACGUAUACGGUGUGACGCCUGCCCGGUGCCGGAAGGUUAAUUGAUGGGGUUAUCCGUAAGGAGAAGCUCUUGAUCGAAGCCCCGGUAAACGGCGGCCGUAACUAUAACGGUCCUAAGGUAGCGAAAUUCCUUGUCGGGUAAGUUCCGACCUGCACGAAUGGCGUAAUGAUGGCCAGGCUGUCUCCACCCGAGACUCAGUGAAAUUGAACUCGCUGUGAAGAUGCAGUGUACCCGCGGCAAGACGGAAAGACCCCGUGAACCUUUACUAUAGCUUGACACUGAACAUUGAGCCUUGAUGUGUAGGAUAGGUGGGAGGCUUUGAAGCGUGGACGCCAGUCUGCGUGGAGCCAACCUUGAAAUACCACCCUUUAAUGUUUGAUGUUCUAACGUUGGCCCCUUACCGGGGUUGCGGACAGUGUCUGGUGGGUAGUUUGACUGGGGCGGUCUCCUCCCAAAGCGUAACGGAGGAGCACGAAGGUUAGCUAAUCCUGGUCGGACAUCAGGAGGUUAGUGCAAUGGCAUAAGCUAGCUUGACUGCGAGCGUGACGGCGCGAGCAGGUGCGAAAGCAGGUCAUAGUGAUCCGGUGGUUCUGAAUGGAAGGGCCAUCGCUCAACGGAUAAAAGGUACUCCGGGGAUAACAGGCUGAUACCGCCCAAGAGUUCAUAUCGACGGCGGUGUUUGGCACCUCGAUGUCGGCUCAUCACAUCCUGGGGCUGAAGUAGGUCCCAAGGGUAUGGCUGUUCGCCAUUUAAAGUGGUACGCGAGCUGGGUUUAGAACGUCGUGAGACAGUUCGGUCCCUAUCUGCCGUGGGCGCUGGAGAAUUGAGGGGGGCUGCUCCUAGUACGAGAGGACCGGAGUGGACGCAUCACUGGUGUUCGGGUUGUCAUGCCAAUGGCACUGCCCGGUAGCUAAAUGCGGAAGAGAUAAGUGCUGAAAGCAUCUAAGCACGAAACUUGCCCCGAGAUGAGUUCUCCCUGAGACUUUAAGUCUCCUGAAGGAACGUU
rnacentral:rRNA from 1 species